UGGUGGGUUAAAACUUGAAGGUAAAAGCAACAGUAAUAAAAUAAUAAAUUUGCUGUACUUUUUUCACCCUUCCACACUCAAAGAAUAUCGGAAGGUAAAACCUCAAGUAAUCUUCAACGGCCAAGUCACUCAACUUCAUCAUCGUCUUCCUCCUUCAAAUGCUAAAUCGCCUUCUUCGCGCCUUUCUGAAACGCCAAACCCUAAUUAAUUGCAGAAACUUCAUCUUCUCAAUUACCACCAAAUUCUCUCUCUUCAUCCCUUCUUCAACCAUGGCAUCUCAAUCCCCUGAAUCAAUUAUCUCAAACCCGCCAAAAUUCGACCCAUCACAGCCGUCCAUUCCAAUCUCAUAUCCAAUCACAACCCUAGAAGAGCUCGAAUCAAGAUCAUACUUUGAUUCGUUUCAUUAUCCAUUUAAUAAAGCUUCUGUCCCAUUAAAUGGGAAUUUGUCGUUGCCCCAAAAACCUAGAUUGUUGGUUUGUCAUGAUAUGGCGGGUGGGUAUUCGGAUGAUAAGUGGGUCCAAGGUGGGACCCAUUCUGAUGCGUAUGCUAUAUGGCAUUGGUAUUUGAUGGAUGUUUUUGUGUAUUUUUCUCAUAGUUUGGUUACUCUUCCACCUCCUUCUUGGGUGAAUACUGCUCAUAAGCAUGGAGUUAAGGUCUUGGGGACUUUCUUGACAGAAUGGGAUGAGGGUAGAAUUAUAAGUGAUAAAUUGCUUUCAAGUAUGGAGUAUGCUCGUAUGUGUGCCGAGCGGUUGACUGAGCUUGCUACUGCUCUUGGAUUUGAUGGCUGGCUGAUAAAUAUGGAGGUUAAGUUGGAUCCUGCCCAAAUAGCAAAUAUGAAGGAAUUUGUAAGCAUCUUGACAGAGAUGAUGCAUCUGUCAAAGCCUGGGUCUUUGGUGAUAUGGUAUGACAGUGUUACGGUUCAUGGUGAGCUUGAUUGGCAAGAUCAGCUGAAUGACAAGAACAAAGCCUUUUUUGAUUUAUGUGAUGGGAUAUUUAUAAACUACACAUGGAAGGAGGGCUACCCAAAGCUCUCUGCUAACAUUGCUGGUGAUAGGAAGUUUGAUGUAUAUAUGGGAAUAGAUGUAUUUGGAAGGAACACUUAUGGUGGAGGGGAAUGGACUACAAACAUUGCACUAGAUGUCAUAAGGAACGAUGAUGUAUCAGCUGCAAUAUUUGCACCUGGAUGGGUCUACGAGAAAAAGCUACCUCCAGAUUUUCAGACUGCUCAGAAUCGUUGGUGGGGUCUUGUUGAAAAAUCCUGGGGAUUGAUGCAAAAUUACCCAAGGACAAUACCAUUCUACUCAGAUUUCGAUCAGGGUCGUGGUCACCAUAUUUCCGUAAGUGGGAGGCAAAUUUCAGAUGCUGAUUGGUGCAACUUAUCAUGCCAAAGCUUUCAGCCUUUUCUGGAAUAUUCUGAAGAAUCUGGAAUGGAUGAUGUUCAAGCUCUUGUCAACCUUGAGGAGAAAUCGUAUAGCGGAGGAGGGAAUGUUACAUAUAAAGGAACUCUUGGAAACCUUUCUUUUAUCACAAAAAGGUUAUUUCAAGCAAAACUCCUUCUAGGGGAUUCAGCUCUGGGGUUCACUUAUUCUGUGAAGUCAGAUGGGGACUCUCUAAUAGGCAUUUCUCUAGAGUUUUUGUCCAACGAGGGCGAGGUUAUGUUAGUGCUCCUUGCAUCUCAUGGAAAUGCUUUACUUACCAUGAACCAGUUUUCUAGCAAGUUCAACAAAGUAAUCAUGCCACAUCGAGUUAUCAGGCCAGAGUCAUCUGAUGGGUGGGUCCUGCAGGAGAAUGUCAUUGCCAUGUCAGGGUAUACAUUAACAGAGAUUCGGACAGUAUGCUACAAGUUGAGACCUCAACUUGCUGAGCAACAGAUAUCGGAGUAUUAUGCAGUUCUUGGUCAUCUCUCAAUCCAAACUUCUGGUCAGAAUGUACAAUUUCCACCUUCUUCUUCAUGGGCAGUUGUGGGUCAAGAUGUAACAUGGAAAGCUGGCCGAGACAAAUCCAAGUCCGUCUCUUUUACUGUCCUUUGGAGAUUAAAGGAUGGAAUUGACUUUAAUGACAUUGAAAAAUACAUUGUCUAUAUCGAGAAAACACCAGAAGCAGAUGCAAAUCUGGAUGUGAAGCUUCAAGCUGUACAAGAAUUUCUCGGAACCGCACUAGUGGAAGUCUUCUAUGUUUCUGACUUGCUAGUUCCUUCUGGUAUCUCUUCUCUCAAAUUUAUCAUCCAAGUUCAUGGUAUUGAUGGAACAUGUCAACCACUCGACGAUUCUCCAUUCUUUCAAUUGGACGUUGAAGCACCAAAUACUUUGUGAACGAUGGCAAACUUGUGGGGAUCAUCGGAAGGGAAGUAAGGAGCAAAAAUGCAGUCUUUGGCACAUCGACGACGGAGCAACUUGCAAGAAGCACAAGGCGGUAUAUGGUAUCUUUAACACAUCUACAGUUAUUUGGGGCUUGUAGAUGUACAAAUGGUGCAUGCCAUGUUCAUCAAUGAUCAAACGUAACACAUAUUUAUGUGUCGUGCGCGGUCGCGCAUCAUCCUACUCAACGGAUAUAAGGUAGAAGUGUUGUAGAAUUAUUGACUUGUGAUGUAUAAUAGAGUGGAUUGAUAUCAAUCCACUAAAAUGUCUCUUGGAAAACUUUGAAAUAAGUAUGAAAAACUGGUUGCUCUUGAAUUCGAUGUUUUCAUGGAUGUUUGUAUAAUUUUUAUUGUGAUAAGGUAUUUUCAUUUACAACAAUACUA